rnacentral:rRNA from 1 species
UUCCCCUCCCUAGCACUCCACUCUCGCUCCCCAAAUCCCUAGCACUCUCUGCUCCUCCAAUGUCGCCGGCCCGCGUCGCCGCCCGCAUCCCUCUCGCCCGCCUCACCGCCCGCCUCGCCGCCCCCAUCGCCGUAGCCGUGGUCGUCUCUUCCUCUCGCUCCGCGCCAGCUCUUCUUCUCGCCCCACGUCACCUCUCGGUCUGAGGUAAAGAUUGCGUUUUUUAGUCAAGCGGAGGUGUGGUGGCAGCGAGGAGCAGCGGCAGGAGCUGUUCCACUCGAUGGAUUUGAAGCAGGAGGACGUCGCCGUGAGCUGGAGUAGGAGGAGCGCGGGCACGGCGGCCUGCUCGACGACGGCGGCGUCUCGAGCGCGUGCAAGGCCAACGCGGGCACGUGAAGUAGGAUGGUGUCCUGCUCGACGACGUCCAUGGUGGAGAAGCUCGCGUCCCUGGAUCCGCUCGCCAAGGCGGCAGGUGGCGUCGCCUGGGAGUUGCUGCCCAUGGUGCAACCAGUGCGGACUCCGUUCACGUCUUGCUCAGGCAGGCGCUGCGGGCUGACGACCGCGCGGAGCUGCUGGGCUGCCUGUACAACAGAGAUGGCAAGGUGGAGUACUUGCUUGAGGUCCAGGUUCAUCCUCUUCUGGUGGAGAACAAUUCAGGUCAAAGUUCAACAUCUUCGUGUUGCUGUUGCUGUUGUUGCUUGAGCUACUGCUGCUGCUGUGUUUGUUGCUGGAGUACUUGCUUGAGCUACUGCUGCUAAUUUGUUGAUGGAGUACUUGAUUGAGCGACUGCUGCUGCCAUUGUGUUGCUGCUUCUCUUGCUUAUAUCUGCAUGAACAAGUCCAUCAAAUGACACAAUCUUCAGUUUAUAUGGUUCAGAACUGGUUAAGUUUAUAAGCUAAAACAUCAUAUAUGCAGAUGUUUAAACUCUCGAUAAUAAAUUUAUAUGGGGUAUCAUUAGAUGCUGCUGCAAAGAUUCAUAGUAAUGCUGUUGUAGAGACAAAAUGCACCUUUAUAGUACUCCUUUUAUUUAUAAAGAAUUCAUACAGAAGUUUGCUGAGUGUAAAUUCUGCUAACUGGUAAUUUUAAUACAGAACAGUGCUAUAUAUGAUGUUCCUGACCCACAAUCAGUAGGAGUACAAUGCUCUUACAAAUGUUGCAUACUGUAGAAAUUAAACUUGUGAAUGUUGUACUCAUACUUUUGUAGAGAUUCAUGUUGUGACAGUCGCAGUUGAUCCAUUUAGACAAGGAGUAUUGUGCAGUAGGAGUACAAUAGUCUGUAUUUUGACAGACAAGUGCAGCAUCCCAUAGUGAAUUCUCCUGUAAAUUCUGUAAAUAAUGCAUAGAUAGACAAGUGCAGCAUCUCAUGGAGUAAUUUAUGUUGUUGUGCAAGGGGCGAGGUGAGGAGAACCUGCCUGGAGACAACGUGCUGCGGGCGGCAGCGACGAGCCAGGUGGGCUGGGCACGGCCAGGACCAAGCUGAGGGGGUGGCGACCAAUCUCGCGCGGCGGUGACGAGGCAGUGCUGGCUGCGACCAAACUUGUCCUCUUGUUCUGCCUCAAUAAGUGUUGCUGCUUGUCCUAUUGCACCAUAAUUACUCUGAAAUUUUCCAAAAAAGCAAGUUUAAUACUCCAAAAAGGGAAAAACAAACAAACCAUAGAUCUUAUCUCUAGGUUGCUUAACCCUGAAACAACGUAUCUUCUGCAAUGUACACCUGCAUUUAGUAGUAGUAAUGCCAUCUAGAUAAUGCAAGAGUAGUAGUAACUGAAACUUCCAUGUGAAUUUAACUGAAACUUCUGCAUUUGUACUCUGUAAGAUUCUAGCUGUAGAGACAAAAUGCUCCUUCAUUUGAUUAGCAUUUAACUACAAUAAUGUUUAGAUUGGUUGCAACAAACAAAAUACAGAUAUGUCAAUGAGUAAAUUUCUUAUUAAUAUGGUCCGGUUGCAGAAAUACAGAUCAUUCAACUCUAGGAUCCAGAAUGCAUUAAACAAAAUUAAAACAAUGUACUGGUACUCAUUUGGUCAAUCUGCCACUGUACUCAUUUGACAGAUUUGUAUUUUGAUAUAAUCCAUUUCAUAGUGAUGUUUCUUGACACACAAGUGAUACUGUGCAGACAAGUGACAAUUCUUCUUUAAAUUACAAAUGUUGUAUUUACAAGUAACUACUCCAUGUUUACUUGUCACUGUUUGCAAAUGAGAAAUUAUAAAUGUUUACUCCAUGUUUACUUCUCACUGUUUGCAAAUGAGUAAUGUUUCGACAAGGAGUACUGUGCAGUAGGAGUACAAUACUCUGUAUUUUGACAAACAAGUGCAGCAUCUCAUGUGUGAUUAUGCAUUUAUCUGAACUAAUGCAUUUAACUGAAUCUAUGCCGAAUCUAACUGAUCCUUGUACUGAUACUCCAGUCUGUUUGCAGAAUUUACAGUAAAAUUUACUCCAGGGAGCAAGAUCACAUUACUGCAGUUAGGGGCGAGGCAAGGAGAACCUGCCUGGAGACCACGUGCGGCAGCGACGAGCCAGGUGGGCUGGGCGCGGCGAGGACCAAGCUGAGGGGGCGGCGACCAAGCUGAGGCGGAGGCGACCAAACUAGGCGCCUGGGCGCCGGGCCGAGCGCCUGGACGAAGGGGCCGAGCGCCUGGAUGAUGCGGACGACGCGUGCUCGUGGAGGAGGGGGACGGCGCAAGCUACUAGAGGAGGGGGACGGCACAAGUUUCUGGAGGAAGGCGACGACACGAGCUCCUGGAGGAAGACGACGGCACGAGCUCCUGACGAUGGGGACGACGCGAGCUCCUGGAGGAUGGGGACGGCGCGAGCUCCUGGGGGAAGGGGACGGCGCGAGCUCCUGGGGGAAAGGGACGGCGCGAGCUCCUGGGGGAUGGGGACGGCGCGAGCUCCUGGAGGAGGAAGACGACGCGAAUUCAAAUCAAGGGUAAAAUGGUCUAAUUCGCCAUUUGUCGGCUGUGUCCUAAAAUUCUAAACGCUCUUAUAAAAGUUUACAGAGGGAGUAUUAGUUUAUCUGCAUCAAAAUCUUCAGCAGU